UUGUUAACCUGAUUGGGUAUUUACCACCCCAACUAUAAUCAUGGUGAUAGUUGGGGUGGUAAAAUUAUUAUGUUUUUGGGAGAAGAGUAGAAACAAAAUUAACGCUAUGUUUGGAGUUCCAUAAAAACAAAGAGUUUCUCGUCCUAUCAUACCAGUAUAAAAUUGUGCAUGGACAUACUUUCAGACAUAGUACAUAAAUUAUUAUUAUGUUUAAGACCCCUAAGAGAAAAACUUGCCGGAUUUUUUUGAGUUUAAUUUUGAAUAUUACAUGUGUUCUUUGUGUCUUUCUAUUAUUUUGAAACAAUGCACAAUAACAAAUUCAGAAGUACCUGCAAAUGAGUUCGCAUACCUACAAACCUACAACUUAUAUUGUUCCUGUGUCCGACUUGCAUGUAAAAUUUGAUUAUUUUAAUCAAGGUCAAACAAAUACAAUGAAUGCGCGUACUGUUAGCAUGUUAGUAGCUGAUAAUUAACUGAUACGAGUUUGCUUGUUUCAGCAGUUGAAAUGACUAAUAGUCAUUUAAUUCUCUAACUUAGUAUAUUUUGUGUCUGUAGUUAUUUAAUAUCUUAUAUUCUCAUAAAAUUUCUAUGGAUCCCAAAUCAGUAGAAAUAAUAUCUUCUUUAUUAUGAUAGGUAUUUCCAUGGAUAAAAGAAAGAGACUGGAUUGGCCUUGUGGGCGGGCCACGCGUGCCGAGGGUGCGAGCCGGUGUACUGCGCGCUGUCAUAACGCUCAAAUGUCCAUACUUACCGGCUAGCAAUCGCUGUCAUGUUUUGACAGCGUACGUAUCUCUGCAAAAAUAUUAUAUUAUGCCGUCUUGCGCUAUUAUAACGUGUCGGAAAAGAAACCAGGUGUGUAGCAUAGCACGAGAAGGAAUUUCUUUUCACCGGUUUCCAACAGAUCCAGGUGUAACAAAAUUGUGGAUUGACACAACUGGUAGAAUUAAUUUUUUUUUUCAAGUUCCACCACACAGAUUAGAAACUGCGUAUAUUUUUAUCUCCACCAUAUUUAUACAGACAUUGGUCUUAAAAACUAAGCUUAUAUAAUAAUUAAUAGUAUAAUAAAUUAUGUAGCAAGUUACACGACCAGGUUUAAAACAAUUGAAAUGACAAGUGGUGGGAUUCAGGAACCCAAACUAGGAAAACCUGUACUAUGGGCUCCUGGAUUCCUACUAAAUGUAGCAUAUUUCGUUCGCAACAUUUCGAUGUUGAUAAUUACAUAAUAACAAAGUCAGGGAAAAGAAACUUAAAAUUAGGCGUUUAUCCGCACAAUAUCGCAAUGUGUAAUUCAGUAAGUAAACUGAUUUUAUUUUAGAAAAUUUUAAAUUAGUCUCUUUAAAUCAGUUUUUUUGUCUAAAAAUGGCGAUAUUUAAAAUAUCAUCUUUCGUAAAUUUAAAAAAUGAAAUAAUAUAACCAUGUUAUUUCAAUGUGUUCUGUACUUUAUACAGAUUAUUGUAAAUGUGAGAGCCCUGUAAUUAGCUAAAUUAGACUAGUAGAAUGCAUUUGUGUCAGCUUAGAGUUGUCAUGCUCACUCAAAGGUCUCACUGGCGGUGGCACGGGCAUUGGAUCGUUCGAUUCCCUGCAACAUGGUUGAGUUGGACGGUGCUGGUGUACGUGUCAUGUUGGUGAACGAGCGCUGUCAACUGGGACUGGUCAGCUCCAGACUGUAUUAAUUUUGUUGUUCUUAAGGUUUUUUCUAUCGCUUUGACUGAAUAUUAGUUUUACAUUGUUCUCACAUAGUUCAAGCAAUCGAUGCAAAGAAAAGCAAUGUUAUCAAGAAUUGUAUUGUGAAUCUAAUUGAAAAAGAUCGAACGAACAGAUCUUCGAUCUUCUCCAUAGGAAUCUACACUUUGGAACGAGCAAAUAGCUUCACUAGAGGGCUGACCGACAGACAGACGUUAUUAAUAUUAUUAUAUUUGCUUUGACGUUCAAAAGUGCCUAUGAUUUAUUUAUUUUUUACUGAUUUUUAACUUAUUGAGUAAUAAAAUUGGUUUUAAAAUUCA